GGUGUCUGUUUUGGAGAGAGGAAAGAAGCCAUAUUCCCGCUGAGAGGCCCCCUGAAUCUACUCUAGCCUAACUACUAGUCGGGUACAAUUUUCGGGCCGGUGUGAUGCACAUACAGGAGUCACAAACAAUGAUGAAUAAAGAAAAAAAGCGGACGAAAAAAUGAACAUCAAAGACAUAGAUAAAGAGGAAAACGUCUACCGUGAUUUGUUGCCAUUCAUCCCAAAACAACUACUGUUUCCUUCUUCCUCCACCAGUAUAGUUUACUUUAUCCCUUCCAUGACUCCAAAUUUCCAUCUUAAAGCAACAGAGUCGCUGAGCACGGAAGGCACGUCUCAUAAUUCACUCAUAGGAUUUAACCACCAAACCGUGAGGCAUAAGUUCACCUAGCUUCCCAGUCACACAGGCUUUGAGAGUAGGGUUUCAGUUGAUUUAUUACAAACGUUCCUAAACUGAAGUUGUUAUUAUUAUACGUUUCCUGGAUGAACGUUCUCAAGAUAAAUAUGCCUAAAGAUGAGCAACUGCCUGAAGCAAUAUCCUCUAUAAUAUACGUUUCCAGACGAAUCCUUCGAUUUGGGCUCGAAAAGAAAUGAGUAUUGACAGUAACGACGUACCAUAGAAAUUCGAGUACACGUCAGCUAGGCAAAGCUAAAUCUAGUUUAAGCUAGUUCAUGCAAUGUUACAGUUCCUUGACGCUUCCAAGUUGAAGUUCUUCCUUGAGAAAUUUGUUUUUGAAAGAGAAAAAACGUUAUAUAAAAGUCUGAU